GAUGAACGCUAGCGGCAGGCUUAAUACAUGCAAGUCGAGGGGCAGCACAGGUAGCAAUACUGGGUGGCGACCGGCAAACGGGUGCGGAACACGUACGCAACCUUCCUUUAAGUGGGGGAUAGCCCAGGGAAACUUGGAUUAAUACCCCUUAACAGUAUGAGAUGGCAUCAUUUUAUAAUUAAAGCUCCGGCGCUUAAAGAUGGGCGUGCGCCUGAUUAGGUAGUUGGCGGGGUAACAGCCCACCAAGCCUACGAUCAGUAACUGGUGUGAGAGCACGACCAGUCACACGGGCACUGAGACACAGGCCCGACUCCUACGGGAGGCAGCAGUAAGGAAUAUUGGUCAAUGGACGCAAGUCUGAACCAGCCAUGCCGCGUGGAGGAUGACGGCCCUCUGGGUUGUAAACUCCUUUUAUCUGGGAAGAAAUGCAGAUUUUCUAAUCUGUUUGACGGUACCAGUGGAAUAAGCACCGGCUAACUCCGUGCCAGCCGCCGCAGUAA
rnacentral:rRNA from 1 species